rnacentral:lncRNA from 1 species
ACUGCAUUUUUACUAGUGCAGAGUACUUGGGAUUCACGAAUGAGCAAGGUCGAAUGCUAGGGUGCACCUGCUUCACCAUCAAACAAAAUUGCAAUCUUUACUUUGACAAAAUACUGAUUUUGAGAGAUGAAGAGAGGGAGGUAGACUUCGUUUUUCACUAGGGUAGAGUACCUGAGAUUCACGAAUAAGCAAGGUCGAAAGCUAGGGUACACCUGCG